rnacentral:rRNA from 1 species
AGAACGAACGCUGGCGGCAUGCCUAACACAUGCAAGUCGAACGAGACCUUCGGGUCUAGUGGCGCACGGGUGCGUAACGCGUGGGAAUCUGCCCUUGGGUUCGGGAUAACAGUUGGAAACGACUGCUAAUACCGGAUGAUGACUUCGGUCCAAAGAUUUAUUGCCCAGGGAUGAGCCCGCGUAGGAUUAGCUAGUUGGUGAGGUAAAGGCUCACCAAGGCGACGAUCCUUAGCUGGUCUGAGAGGAUGAUCAGCCACACUGGGACUGAGACACGGCCCAGACUCCUACGGGAGGCAGCAGUGGGGAAUAUUGGACAAUGGGCGAAAGCCUGAUCCAGCAAUGCCGCGCGAGUGAUGAAGGCCUUAGGUUGUAAAGCUCUUUUACCCGGGAUGAUAAUGACAGUACCGGAGAAUAAGCCCCGGCUAACUCCGUGCCAGCAGCCGC